rnacentral:rRNA from 1 species
GAUGAACGCUGGCGGCGUGCCUAAUACAUGCAAGUCGAACGCUUCACUUCGGUGAAGAGUGGCGAACGGGUGAGUAAUACAUAAGUAACCUGGCAUCUACAGGGGGAUAACUGAUGGAAACGUCAGCUAAGACCGCAUAGGUGUAGAGAUCGCAUGAACUCUAUAUGAAAAGUGCUACGGGACUGGUAGAUGAUGGACUUAUGGCGCAUUAGCUUGUUGGUAGGGUAACGGCCUACCAAGGCGACGAUGCGUAGCCGACCUGAGAGGGUGACCGGCCACACUGGGACUGAGACACGGCCCAGACUCCUACGGGAGGCAGGAGUAGGGAAUUUUCGGCAAUGGGGGAAACCCUGACCGAGCAACGCCGCGUGAAGGAAGAAGUAAUUCGUUAUGUAAACUUCUGUCAUAGAGGAAGAACGGUGGAUAUAGGGAAUGAUAUCCAAGUGACGGUACUCUAUAAGAAAGCCACGGCUAACUACGUGCCAGCAGCCGCCGUAAAAC